UACGGAAGGGGCAAGCGUUGUUCGGAAUCAUUGGGCGUAAAGGGCGCGUAGGUGGUUCUGUAUGUCUACCGUGAAAGCGUACGGCUCAACCGUAUUUUGUCGGUGGAACUGCAGGACUUGGAGGCUGGGAGGGGCUGGUGGAAUUCCCUGUGUAGCGGUGAAAUGCGUAGAUAUCGAGAGGAACACCUGCGGCGAAGGCGGGUUGCUGGGCUGACACUGACGCUGAUGCGCGAAAGCCAGGGGAGGCGAACGGG
rnacentral:rRNA from 1 species